UUAAGAUAGAGUCUCCAGGGAAUAUUACUCUUAACAGUCUUGAUGGAUACAAGGGAUCCUUGGGUGAUGAGGAGAUGGGAGAUGAGGAAGAACUUCAUAAAAGGUAUGGAGGAAAUCCAUUCAAACAUAAGGAGAAAGGAAAUAGAGUAUCCUGUACAAGGAAAAGCAGAAGCAGUUUUGCUGGACACCAGAGUAUAUGAAGGAGAGUAGCAUAAAAUAAAGGUGAAAUGGUAAUUGGGGAGAAAGGUUUUAAAGGGGUUUAAAUGGCAAAAAGAAUAAUUUGUCUUUGUUUCUAGAGGUAAUAAAGAACCAUUAGUAUUUAUUGAACAAGGGUGUGACCUGAUCAGAUUUGUGCUUUAGGAAAACCAUUUUGGUUACUUUGUGGAGAAACAAAUGGAGAGAGGGAGAAGAAUCAGACAGCCAACUUAAAUGGAUAUUGCAAUAAUUCAAGCAAGAGGUGAUGAGGACUUAACUAAUAUUGUGGCCAGGGCAGUAACAAGAUGAUAGAUCUAAUCCCUUGAGAUACUAGAAUUAGGAAAGCUUGUCAACUAAUUAGAUAUGUUGGUUAAAGAAGAGUGGUCACUCAAAAAUAUAGUAAAAAAUGUGAACCUGGUUGACUGAAGGCAUGAUGGUGCUCUCCAAUGAAAUAGAAAAGUUAGGAGGAGGGUAGAAGUUAAGUAUAGACUAUAUCUGCAUCAUUCUCUCUUUCUCUCUCUCUCUCUCUCUCUCUCUCUCUCUCUCUCUCUCUCUCUCUCUCUCUCUCUCUCUCACUGUCUCUUUCUCUCCUGAUUUUCAUCUCUCCUUUUCAUUUUGUCUUCCCUUAUUAGAAUAUAUAAUUCUUGAGAAUAACAACUACCUCACUGAUGUCUUUUUUCAUUCUCAGAGAAAUCAAUUUAUUUAACACCUUGGAACAGCUUUUUGAGCUUCACCAUCUCUCUUCCUCACCAGAAGGUGCCUCAUCUGCCUUUAUCCUUUCAUUCAACAUAACCAUCCUCUUGUUAAUGGUGUCCACAGAUUGGUUUAUUUCACAGAGCUUAUGCUGCAUGGUGUUGUUGAGAAAUUACAAAGGAUGGAAAGUCAUGCCAUAAAAUGGAGAAUAACAAAAGAAACUUAACAGGUAUGUUUUCUGCAUCUGGCUUAUAAUUAUAAAGUGUGACUGGUUAAAAUUAUGACUUGUAAGCAUUCUCAGUUUAGAUGUUUCCCACAGACUAAUUUAUAUUUUUCUGUAGAUGCUGGAUUUGGAAUCAGAAAAAACAACAACAACAACAACUAGGUUUGAUUCCAUCCUCUGACUGGUUUACUAUGUGCUUCAAGGUGAGACGUAAUGUCUGCCUAAGUUCUUUAGUCAAGUCCCUAAGAAUUAUUUACACAAGGAUAAUAAUAAAAAUAAUUAAUAAGGCA
rnacentral:lncRNA from 1 species